rnacentral:lncRNA from 1 species
AUUAUGAUGACGACAAUGACGAUAGUGGCAAUCAUUUAUUAAGCAUUGCCCUGGCCUAAGGCACCACAUGGGUCAUUUCUUCCAGGCUCCAACUUGCUUCUGCUUUGCCAUAUGGUAACACGCCGUAUUAUGGAAGAACCAUCAUUACCGCCAUCUGCAGGGGAAGCCUAAAGAGGUGAUUUGAUAGUGUGGUUUCGGAUUACAGCCUGGCUUCCUGGGGUGAUCCAUCACAAGAAUAAAGAGUAUUGAUAAGGCCAAUGGGUGCACUUCCAGAACACCAAGCUUCCCGAGGUGCCUAUGCAGGGAUAUUGCUUCUCCGUAUUCAGACCUCUCC